AUUGAACGCUGGCGGCAUGCCUUACACAUGCAAGUCGAACGGUAGGGGGGCAACCCCUGAGAGUGGCGAACGGGUGAGUAAUGCAUCGGAACGUGCCCAGUUGUGGGGGAUAACGUAGCGAAAGCUACGCUAAUACCGCAUACGACCUGAGGGUGAAAGGGGGGGAUCGCAAGACCUCUCGCAAUUGGAGCGGCCGAUGUCAGAUUAGCUCGUUGGUGGGGUAAAAGCCUACCAAGGCGACGAGCUGUAGCUGGUCUGAGAGGACGACCUGCCACACUGGGCCUGAGACCCGGCCCAGACUCCUACAGGAGGCAGCAGUGGGGAAUUGUGGACAAUGGACGCAAGUCUGAUCCAGCCAUGCCACGGGCAGGAAGAAGGCCUUCGGGUUGUAAACUGCUUUUGUCAGGGAAGAAAUCCCUUGGGAUAAUACCUCGGGGGGAUGACGGUACCUGAAGAGUAAGCACCGGCUAACUACGUGCCAGCCGCCGCGGUAAGAC
rnacentral:rRNA from 1 species